GGAAGCAUUCAAGGCCAGGCUGGAUGGGGCUUUGAGCAACCUGAUCUAGUGAGAGGUGUUCCUGCCUAUAGCAGGGGGGUUGGAACUAGAUGAUCAUAAAGGUCCCUCCAAACCCAAACUAUUCUAUGAUUCUAUGAUCCUCUAGCCAUGAUGCCAGGUUGGAUCAUCCACCUGGGAACAGACCAAAGGUGUCUCAAGCCAGGAUGAAAUGACGUGGUGGAGUUAUGCUCACAGCCUUAGAUGGCAGACAUAGCCAGUCACCUCUGUGGGAUACCAGUGACAUCCAAGACAGCAAUCAGUGUAAAGCAAGGUGCAGAGAUUUAGCAAGACUGAGGAGGCAAAUCCAGACCAACACGCACCACCAGGGCAGCCAGCUGUGGAGGAGGCGCAAGUGGCCACAGAUUCGCUGGGCGACACAGUCAACCCCUGAAAGUUGGUCUGACUUCAGAGUGGGCCCUGCUCCGCCACACAACAUUGGGCAAUGGCCUACAGAACUGCUUCUAAACCAAAGGGUUCCUGGAUUGCAGUGCUGUGCGAAAGAUUGCCACUGUUUUGCACUGCAGCUGCUCACUGGUGUAGAUCUACUGUAUUACUCACUCUUAAGUUCCACCACUGUAAAUACAGAACUGCUUUGUUCAAGUCCCUGAGGCUUGAUGAGCCUGCUUUUGACACAGCCUGGUAAGAGAAAUUGCGCUUAGCUAAUGAAUUGAUUGUAGAGGUAUAUUUUUUCAAGAACAUUCUCCUUGUUUAAUCUUUUUGUUUUGUUUUGUUUUGUUUUUUAAGUCAUUUCCAAGGGGACAAACUUAACUUAAAAGUGGGUUAACAUAUCAUAAGCAAGGUCACUUUUCUUUGUUCCCACAACCGCUCUGAUUAUAUGGUGAGAGGAGACAUAAGCUUGACCUAGUGGACAUUGCUGUGAACUUGCACUUUGGACUUCCCGGGAGUCCUUGAAUGGGCCACUCACCCGGUGCUGUACUUCAGUCUCCUGUCUGCAAAAUGCAGCUAAAGCUUCCCUGCUGGGCAGGGGCACUGUAAGUAAAGCCCUGUGAAGAUUGCAAGAUGCUUAAAAACAGCACCAGUGAUGGCCACAUAAGUGCCAAGAACAGAUAUGUAUCUACAUAUCCAGACAGCUGCAGACUUAUUGUGACUCAAUCAAGUUUAAACAUCUUAAGAUAAAAGCUGCUAUUUCAAGCUCCUUAGGCUCAAGGAAAUCCAUAAUAAAAACAAACCAUCAACAUAGAAAUAACUGGGA
rnacentral:lncRNA from 1 species